GGGCCCGCCUUUAAGGCCGCCGGGGGGCAUCAGCCCCCGGGCCCGCGCCCGCCGGAGACACCACGAACUCUGUCUGAUCUAGUGAAGUCUGAGUUGAUUGUAUCGCAAUCAGUUAAAACUUUCAACAAUGGAUCUCUUGGUUCCGGCAUCGAUGAAGAACGCAGCGAAAUGCGAUAACUAGUGUGAAUUGCAGAAUUCCGUGAAUCAUCGAGUCUUUGAACGCACAUUGCGCCCCCUGGUAUUCCGGGGGGCAUGCCUGUCCGAGCGUCAUUGCUGCCCAUCAAGCACGGCUUGUGUGUUGGGUCGUCGUCCCCUCUUCGGGGGGGACGGGCCCCAAAGGCAGCGGCGGCACCGCGUCCGAUCCUCGAGCGUAUGGGGCUUUGUCACCCGCUCUGUAGGCCCGGCCGGCGCUUGCCGAACGCAAAACAACCAUUCUUUCC
rnacentral:rRNA from 1 species